GUGAUUCUUUUGUUGUAAGGAACUUGUGUUUCCUUGGUUGAAGUCUUGGAGUGUUGUAUCUCCGAGCAAAGGUGUUAAGGCUUGUGUCUUUACGUUGUAAAGGUUUGUUGAGCACCCGUAAGCUUAACAAGUUAGUGGAAAAUCUCGAGAGAGUCUCUCGAGGACUGGACUAGCCACGUGUUGUAGUGAACCAGAAUAUAUCGGUGCGUUCUUUCCUUGUUGUUUAUUUAACGCACUUAUUUAUGUCCUGCAAAUUUUAAUUUCCGCAAGUUUA
rnacentral:lncRNA from 1 species